rnacentral:rRNA from 1 species
UACGUAGGGGGCAAGCGUUGUCCGGAAUCAUUGGGCGUAAAGAGCGUGUAGGCGGCCCGAUAAGUCCGCUGUGAAAGUCCCAAGGGCUCAACCCUGGAAUGCCGGUGGGAUACUGUCGGGCUCGAAUCCGGAAGAGGGUGAGUGGAAUUCCUGGUGGUAGCGGUGAAAUGCGCAGAUAUCAGGAGGAACACCAAUGGCGAAGGCAGCUCACUGGGACGGUAUUGACGCUGGAGACGCGAAAGCGUGGGGAGCAAACAGG